CGGGUGAGUAACGCGUGGAUAACCUGCCUCACACUGGGGGAUAACAGUUAGAAAUGACUGCUAAUACCGCAUAAGCGCACAGUACCGCAUGGUACAGUGUGAAAAACUCCGGUGGUGUGAGAUGGAUCCGCGUCUGAUUAGCCAGUUGGCGGGUAACGCCCACCAAAGCGACGAUCAGUAGCCGACCUGAGAGGGUGACCGGCCACAUUGGGACUGAGACACGGCCCAA
rnacentral:rRNA from 1 species